rnacentral:rRNA from 1 species
UACAGGGGGUGCAAACGUUGCUCGGAAUCAUUGGGCGUAAAGCGCACGUAGGCGGUUACUUAAGUCGGAUGUGAAAGCCCUUGGCUCAACCGAGGAAGUGCAUCCGAAACUGAGUAGCUUGAGUACUAAAGAGGGUCGCGGAAUUCCCGGUGUAGAGGUGAAAUUCGUAGAUAUCGGGAGGAACACCAGUGGCGAAGGCGACUACCUGGCCUGUUCUUGACGCUGAGGCGCGAAAGCUAGGGGAGCAAACGGG